rnacentral:pre_miRNA from 1 species
AAAGUACUCCUUCCGUCCCAAAAUUCUUGUCUUAGAUUUGUCUAGAUACGGAUGUAUCAAGUCACAUUUUAGUAUUAGAUACAUCCGUAUCUAGACAAAUCUAAGACAAGAAAUUUUGGACAGAGGGAGUAGUUG